rnacentral:rRNA from 1 species
UACGGGGGGGGCAAGCGUUGUUCGGAAUUACUGGGCGUAAAGGGCUUGUAGGCGGCCAACUAAGUCAGACGUGAAAUCCCUCGGCUUAACCGGGGAACUGCGUCUGAUACUGGAUGGCUUGAGUUCGGGAGAGGGAUGCGGAAUUCCAGGUGUAGCGGUGAAAUGCGUAGAUAUCUGGAGGAACACCGGUGGCGAAGGCGGCGAUCCUGGACCGACACUGACGCUGAUGAGCGAAAGCCAGGGGAGCAAACGGG